rnacentral:misc_RNA from 1 species
UGAAGCACCAGCAUUUGGUUGCAAAGAGAAAGAAUCAAAGCCAGUGAUCUUGCACAGCAGAUCGCCCAAGUCAUCAAACAUUUCAUGAUAUCCUGCGGCUUGGUCAGUAGGUGCAAAUGGGUGCAUGUUUGCAAAGUUGGGGUAGGUGACAGGCAUCAUCUCCACUGUAGCAUUUAGUUUCAUAGUGCAAGAACCAAGAGGGAUCAUACUGUGGCACAGUGAAAGGUCCUUGGAUUGCAACUUGUACAGGUAGCGGAGAAGCUCAUGCUCUGUAUGGUACAUGUUAAAGAUCGGGUGGGUUAAGUAGGGGCUCUUGCGCACAAGGCUACUCGGAAUUGAGCUUGAGACCUCUGGUGCGAGGGAUUCAGCAGUGAAGUUCACUGGCUUGCCACCAUUGAACACCUUGAACAGCUUGUCGACAUCCUCUAAGGUUGUGGUCUCAUCAAAGGCCACGGUUAUCGUGGUUGCAUCAACAACACGAAGGUUCAUCUCGUUCUUGCAGGCCUCCUGGGCAAUCGCAUUCGCAUCAGCGACCUUGACCUUGACAGUGUCAAAGAACGGCAGUUCCUGCACAGUCACUGUUCCGAGCUUCUUCAGUCCAUGGGCAAAGGUACCAGCCAGG